GCCCAGGUAGCUCAGUUGGGAGAGCGCUGCCCUGAAGAGGCAGAUGUCCCUGGUUCGAGUCCGGGUCUGGGCA
rnacentral:tRNA from 4 species